UUAUAUUACUCUUUGCUUGAAUCUGAUUAUGAUUGUUGUUUUUCUAAUUGAGUUGAUUGACACAGCAUUUUUAAAUCUUCAGUUGUUUGAGUUUACUUAUGACCCAAAGGUACCUCAAACAGUAAAGCGAACCAGACAAACCUAACUUCCAUACAUGAAUAUGUACUUCGCAAUCAUGAAAGAGGUAAGUCUUAUCAAAUGCAAUGAUUUUUAUUGGUCAAUGUUACUUAAUUUCAUGAAUGACUGGAUCAAUCAAGUAAAUGUUUUUGGUUUUGUGCGAAUUUAAUUUUUUAAUAUUUUGAAAUCUUUUCUCCAACUAUCAACUAACAGAAGGACUUCCGUGGCUAAUCAUUUUAUUGUUCAUUUUCACGCAACUUAAAUGACUGUCAUUGAAAAUAAUCUUAAGAUUUCAAAUGUGCUUUUCACAAAAUAGAGGAAAACAUGGAAUGAUUUUCGCUAUGAAAUUGUAAUUUUUAAAGUGGACUUACCUCGGUCGUAUCAAGAUUCAAAUCAAUCUUGAAUCGUUUUGCGCUAACUAGCUUCUGAGAUUUUAUUAUGUACCUCAUGAAUAUAUCUCUAAAUAAUAUAAAUAGGCUGAGGUCAGAAACAUCUCUAAUCGAUUAAAAAGCCAGGAAAAUCUUAACGGAAUGAUAUUUGAUAAUUUAGCAUAAACCUGUUGCAGAUGACAUCGAGGUAUUUUUAAAGUAAAAUUUGCUUCCAUGCUGAAUAAGGAGAAACAAUUUGUUAGCUGAGUAAACACUAACAAUAAUUAAGGUUAGUAAUUAAAAGGAUAAGGCAAAAAUUGGAAAUGAACUGUUCAAUUGAAUGGUAAUUUCCCGUAAAGCACACAAAAAAUAGCAAAUCCGUAAGCACUGAGGAUAAUUGAAAGCCUACCAAAAAACCUUGCACAAAAUUAGCUUUUACAGCUAAAUAACAUUUCAAAAUAAAGAUAAUCAAACAAAAUCUCUCAUUGAUUUAAAUAAAAUCAUAUAAUUCUGACAAAAAUGGAGCACAAUAAUUAAUUCAAUUGAGUCCAUUAGGAAGGCCUAAUGAUAGCGAGAAAAAUCCUCCAGUUCAAUUCAUCUAAAUUAACUACAUUUCCCUCAACCUCAAUGAUUUAGACUUCAAACUCCAUGUAUUACAACCUAAAUUGAGUCAUAAAUCAUUGAAUGACCAUCAAUAAUUGAAUGGCCAAUACUGAAACCAAAAGCGCUCUCAAACCCAUAAAACCCAAACAUUAAAAGGCAAUCCUAACUCAACUAAAACAGCUAAUCAACAGGUAACUCAUAAUAAUGUCAUAGCAAUACAACGGAAACAAUAACUUUGAUUGUAUCAACAAUCAGCAUCCCUUUUUGAUAAUCAAGACAAAGGGACACAAAUAAGUAUAAUGUCAAGAUAUUAAGAUUGAAUAUUAACUGAUAACUAUUUCCGGAAUUUACUUGGUAACCAGUGAAAAUGAUAAACAUGUAACAAUCGCGAAACAACAUUAAUACAAAACAAGGCAACAAUAAUUAUAUUAGCACAAUUGUCCUUGCUCUUCCCUUAGUUUACUGUUUGCUCUGUCGCCAUUAUUUAGUGCCUUUUACCAUUAAUCUGUCGACAAUUUCAGUCUUUCUCUCUCUCACUCUCACUCAUUAUCAUCAUCAUCAUCAUCAAUUCACUCUUCAUCAUUGCAUCUCAUCUCAACCCCAAACGGAUGUUUGAUUCCUAUUGAAAAAAUUAACACAGUACAACAAGUUUCCUUGUAACAAUCGCCUGGCCGUUGUUGUGGUUUUACUUGUAUCUUUGUCACUCUAACUUGGAUUGUUGAUUGCGAGUUAAUUUUUUCAAAUUUCCCUAUCUAAAUACAACAGUUAAUUAUAUUUGAUUCGCUUCAUGUUCAACUGUUUGAGAGAAAAGGAUAAUCACAUUACCAUUGAGUUAAAUUUUAUUUUUCACCUUACAAACCUAUUCUCACUGUAACAGCUCUACACCAACCUUCACUAUCAUCAUUUUUCAUCACUCAACCAGCUAUUCAACAGUCAAUUUUCAAGUUUCUCUCAGUGAAUCAACUUUAAUUUAACUGUUAAUUGUUCUUACUAUUUUACUGUAUUCAUCGUUGGUUUAAACAUCAGUAUAUUCAACAAUAAUUUUUCACCAUUCCUGGACUCUACGGCAAGGUUACCUUUUGUAUGAUUUUGGGUAAAAUUGUUUUGAAGCUUAUUGUUUGGAUUACAUUUUGGGUUGAUUUACAGUUUAAUAAUGGGUCGUGAAACUAAAGAUAUCCAAAGGAAACAAGAUUUAUCUGAUUCCUUUGAAAUUGAAUCCAAUAGUGAUAGACCUGGACUUGGAAGGAUGAGUUGGUUUGCAACCAAUUUCGCCAUCGGUGUUGUUGUCUUCUGUAUAAUAGCUUUGAUUGCUUACGCUGCCAUCAAAUUGUACGGAGAUUCGUGAUUAUUUACAGAGAUGUUACAAUUGUUUCAUUUCUCGUUUCCAUCAUCACUCCAUUAUUGUUUUUACCAAUGUUUCAUUUAACCUGCAAUACACAAACCUGAUUGUCAACAAACCCAAUUCUUGGAUAGUAAUUUGAAUUACAAUCGGAUUGCUGCCGAACCUACCAUCUUAUCAGCGAUUAAUUUUAAUUUUGUUUUUAUCCUGUUCAGCUAAUUUUUACUGUCUUGCUUUUUUAAUUUAAUUUUCACUACAUUUUCAACGCUUAACCAACUUAUUGUGUUCAAUAAAGUCAAUGUAUUGUUA